CUCUAUUUAAAGGGACCCCUCAUUUGCUGCAUACCCACACAACAAACCCACAAAUUGCUCUCACUCUCUCACUCGAAUACAUGUACAGAACACAAACAACCUUUAUACUUUCAAAUACCCACACAAAUCCUAUCCAUUUCUUACAUUUACUCUCUCCCUCUCGAUAUUACUUACACAAACACAACCACACUCCCUCAUCCUCUUCCCCUCCGAUGAAGGUGAACGGCCGGACUCCGGCCAGGCAUGGCGGAGCCGGCGGCGGCGGUGGUCAUUCCAGCCAAAGACACCCUCAAUCACACCCACCUAGCCCCCCCUCUUCAAGCAACAAGACGGACCACCACCACCACAGUUGGGUGGUGGUGAGCGGCGAACCAAACAGAGAGAGAGAGAGAGAGAGAGAGAGAGAGAGAGAGAGAGCGUCGGAGAUAGGAGCAGCACCGCCGCUCACGGCAACGGCGGCGGUGGAGGCGACGACGGGUGUCUCUCGGCGGCGUCACAUCAUGGUCCGGCGAUGGUGAUUGUUUGACGGAAACAAUGGAUGCUGUUUAUGUUGAAGACGGUGAUAGUGGUGGCUUCGGGUGUUCGACUCAGCUCCGGUGACGGCUGUGGAAUAAUGGUGGUGCUGAUGUUCGGUUUCAGAUUAUGGUUUCGGGUCAAUCCGGGUCAAACCCGGUCAACAUAUGUUAAGAUCAGUCAACAACAGUCAACCCGAUCGGAUGUGGGUUCGAGUCAACACAUCGGGUCUUGCGGUUCGUGGUUCGGUUCGGUUGGCUCAGUUAAACCGAGUCGACUCAGCGGGUCAACUCAGUCAAACUGAGUCAACUCAGUCAACCGGUUCAGCGUUCUGACACGAAGAGUGGUAAAGUUUUAACGGCGAAUACGUUAUUUCUAUAAAUUUUUAUUACAUAUGUGAAAUCGAGCUCACACGAACGGUUUAGUGUUUAGUCUAUACUUUGUCGUUUUUACGAAAAUUUAUAUAUUAGUGAUUGAAUAUUGUUGAA